rnacentral:rRNA from 1 species
UACAGAGGGUGCAAGCGUUAAUCGGAAUUACUGGGCGUAAAGCGCGUGUAGGCGGCCCUGCAAGUCGGGUGUGAAAUCCCACGGCUCAACCGUGGAAGUGCACUCGAAACUGCAGGGCUAGAGUCCUGGAGAGGAAGGUGGAAUGCUUGGUGUAGAGGUGAAAUUCGUAGAUAUCAAGCGGAACACCGGUGGCGAAGGCGGCCUUCUGGACAGUGACUGACGCUGAGACGCGAAAGCGUGGGGAGCAAACAGGG